ACGCUCGACACCUACGGAGGCAGCAGUGGGGAAUAUUGCACAAUGGGGGAAACCCUGAUGCAGCGAUGCCGCGUGAAGGAAGAAGUAUCUCGGUAUGUAAACUUCUAUCAGCAGGGAAGAAAAUGACGGUACCUGACUAAGAAGCCCCGGCUAACUACGUGCCAGUAGCCGCCGGUAAUCUGAGCGGGCUGGCAAGGC
rnacentral:rRNA from 1 species